rnacentral:rRNA from 1 species
UACGUAGGGUGCAAGCGUUGUCCGGAAUUAUUGGGCGUAAAGAGCUCGUAGGCGGUUUGUCGCGUCUGCUGUGAAAACUCGGGGCUUAACCCCGGGCCUGCAGUGGGUACGGGCAGACUAGAGUGCGGUAGGGGAGACUGGAAUUCCUGGUGUAGCGGUGAAAUGCGCAGAUAUUAGGAGGAACACCGGUGGCGAAGGCGGGUCUCUGGGCCGUAACUGACGCUGAGGAGCGAAAGCGUGGGGAGCAAACAGG